UGAAAGAGGGUGGGAGGCAAAAUUUAGAACUUAUAAUAUAUAUAUAUAUAUAGAGAGAGAGAGAGAGAGAGUUGAGCUAGAAUACUAUCGGUAGCAAAUGGGCUUUGUUGCCACCCAUUUAUUUUCGAUGAUGGAGCCUCAAAAUCGAUGAUCGGUAUCGUUGAAAAUAAUCUAUACCAGUUGAAGUAUCUAGAAAUCAAAUUUCAUGCUUUUUUGAUAUUAUUCUCUUGUUCAUUAUGUGGGCGUAAAAAUGAACGACUGAAAAUGAAUAUCCUUUAAAAAGUGAUGAUAGAAAUUUUGUAAUCAAGAUCGAGAGUAUAGAUCUUGUUCUAAAUAGUUUUAAAAAAAUUUUAACCAAAAUUUAAUUGAUUUGGAUAGCUUUACACCGUUAAACGAAAAAACGCCUCAUAUUGAUCAUUAAAAUUACAAAUUUUGAAACUCUUUGAUCAUUAGGUCAAUGAUGUCGAAAAUUUUUGAGAUUUGAUUUCUAGAUACUUUAAGUUGUAUAGAUUAUUUUCAACGGUACUGAUCGUUGAUUUGGAGGCUCCAUCAUCGAAAACAAAUGGGUGGCAAUGGAGCCCAUUUACUACCGAUAGUAUUCCAGCUCAACUCUCUCUCUAUAUAUAUAUAUAUAUUAAAUAUAAAAGUUAAUAAAUUAAAUUUUAAAAAAUUUAUACCGACUGAUUUGACACGUGCCCUCUUCAGAGCAUAUAUUUUUAGUGACUUUUUUUGCUUUUAUUCUUUAACUAGCGUAAAAAUUUGCCCGAUUCAGUGGAUAGAUAAUAGAAGCAAAUUUAAAAAUUUUAAUAAAAUUUAUAUUUACAGUUUAUUGAUAUAUAGGAAGCUAUACAAUAUUAAGCACAACCAAUUUGCAUGACUAAAUUAGACUGUUAAAAAAUAAAUUAUAGCUAGAAUCAACUCAUUGAUAGAAUAUUAAUUUGGAGUAUGUAAUUAAAUGUUGCACCUUGCAUGUAAUUAGAGGAGUGGGAAGGUGAAGGGUUAGGCGUUGAGGAGACGAGAAGGUGGUUUGAUUAAAAGUUUUUUUUAUGGUACAUGCAAAAGAGUUACAAAAAAGAGAGGGUGGGAGAUUAAUGGAGAAGAUGAGUGUAUUAAAGUUAUAAAGCCUACUCAUUAAUAGAAUAUUAAUAUGGUACGUGUAAUUAAAUGUUACAUCUUAUAUGUAAUUAGAGGAGUGGAGAUGUGAAGGGUUGGGCGUUGAGGAGAGGAGAAGAUGGUUUGAUUUAAAGUUGGACUAUGAGAAUAAAAUGUAACAUGCCACGUGAUAAAAAGUAUUGUGCCUUCGUAUAGAUUUAUAUAAAUUUAUAGAUUACAAAGCAAGCAAGCCAAGUACAAUUUAUUUUAA
rnacentral:lncRNA from 1 species